rnacentral:tRNA from 1 species
GGCUUGCUAGCUUAGUGGUGUAGAGCACCGUGUUAAUAACACGCAGGUAAUGAGUUCAAUCCUCAUGCAAGCUA